AUGGCAAUGUCUCUCAUCCAAGCGUGCCGCAGCCUGGCUCUCUCAACAUGGCUGCUUUCCUUUUGUUUCGUGCAUCUGCUCUGCCUGGACUUCACCGUGGCCGAGAAGGAAGAAUGGUACACCGCUUUCGUGAACAUCACCUACGCCGAGCCCGCGCCGGACCCCGGGGCCGGGGCGGCGGGCGGCGGCGGCGGCGGCACCACCGCCGAGCUGCACACCGAGAAGACCGAGUGCGGGCGCUACGGGGAGCACUCGCCCAAGCAGGACGCCCGCGGGGAGGUGGUCAUGGCCAGCUCGGCCCACGACCGCCUGGCCUGCGACCCCAACACCAAGUUCGCCUCCCCGGCGCACGGCAAGAACUGGAUAGCCCUCAUCCCCAAGGGCAACUGCACGUACAGGGAUAAGAUCCGGAACGCGUUCCUGCAGAACGCCUCCGCCGUGGUCAUCUUCAACGUGGGCUCCAACAACAACGAGACCAUCACCAUGUCCCACGCAGGUGUAGAAGACAUCGUGGCAAUAAUGAUUCCUGAGCCCAAAGGGAAGGAGAUAGUAAGCCUGCUGGAGAGAAACAUCACCGUGACGAUGUACAUCACCAUCGGAACCCGGAACUUGCAGAAAUACGUGAGCCGCACCUCGGUUGUGUUUGUCUCCAUCUCCUUCAUCGUCUUGAUGAUCAUUUCCCUCGCCUGGCUGGUCUUCUAUUAUAUCCAGAGGUUUCGAUAUGCAAAUGCCAGGGACAGGAACCAGCGCCGACUGGGAGAUGCAGCAAAGAAAGCAAUCAGCAAGCUCCAGGUCAGGACCAUCAAGAAGGGUGACAAGGAAACCGAGCCUGAUUUUGACAACUGUGCAGUUUGUAUUGAAGGGUACAAGCCCAACGAUGUGGUCCGGAUCUUGCCCUGCCGGCAUCUUUUCCACAAGUCCUGUGUUGACCCCUGGCUCCUAGACCAUCGCACCUGUCCCAUGUGCAAGAUGAACAUUCUUAAAGCCCUAGGGAUCCCGCCCAAUGCCGACUGCAUGGACGACUUGCCCACUGACUUCGAGGGAUCUCUGGGAGGUCCAUCAACCAACCAGAUCACCGGCGCAAGCGACACAACCGUAAACGAAAGCUCAGUCACUUUGGACCCUGCUGUCCGGACCGUGGGAGCCUUGCAGGUGGUCCAGGAUACAGAUCCCACCCCGCAGGAGGGAGAAAUCAUCUUCACCACCAACAGUGAGCAGGAACCAGCUAUAAGCAGUGAUUCUGACAUCUCGCUGAUCAUGGCAAUGGAGGUUGGACUGUCUGAUGUAGAACUUUCCACCGACCAAGACUGCGAAGAGGUGAAAUCUUGAAAUGGCGAAUAUAGGAAAAAGGGAUGAUAGGACCCAAGGGGAAGGAAGGGAGGAGUGCCCCAAGACUGGACCAGGCACAUGCACCUCCAGACCACCUUGGCAACUCCAGGGCACUCCACACAAGAAUGGUACCGAAAAGCAAUACCCAAAGUCACGUUCAUCAGGAUGCAGUUUCUCCGUCUCUACAACAGCUCAUGGCCUCGGCACCUUUGACGUCGAAAGCUGAUUUUCUCUCCCAUGUCCUUGUAGGCACACACUUCCGAAGUUCCUCAAACAGACUGAAAAGACACUCUUAGGGCUUCUUAGUUUCAUUUCAGUUUCUUGUUUUCCUAUUUGGGGAAUGUUGUUGAUUUCUUUGACGCUUUCUUUUUAAGGACUAUGUGUAGUUUAAGUUCACUCUUUUGUUUUUCCUUUGAUUCACUCCAGCUUUUGUACAGAGUUCUGUUCAGAAGCCUCAGUUCCUGCUAUGACCAGUUUGUAUUCCAUCUCUGAGAUUAAUGGCCUUGACCUCUCAGCAUGAAGUGUGCAUGGCUUUAGGAAGUGCCUCAGCACCUUGAAACAGUCUAAGGCCAGCUUUCGUUUAGAAUCUGAAUUCUUUUAAGUGGAUCUUGGAAAUGCCAGCUGCCAGAGACCCCAACACCAAGCUCUGAAUCUGCUGAGGCCACUGCUCAUUUUUUUUUAGCUCCACACGCUGGCUUCCACUUGCCAGGCUCUGUUGAGGACCCACGUGACUUGAGAAGGAAGCUCUAGGGAGGCAUUUCAAUCCAUCUGAUUCUUAACAGUCUUUGGCUGAAAUUCUGAACUCACAAGUUCCCACUAGGGCAUUAGCGCCAUUCUCUGUGGCUGUAGGCCUUGUCCGUCACUGGGACUGCAAGCCUAGUUUUCAAACCAGAUACCAUAUACUCGUCCCGAAAGCAAAAUGUCUGUUUCCCCAAGGCUACAGCAGUCUUUUGUUACCUCCACAAAUGCGUUCUGCAGGAGAUGGAAGCUUUAGAAAAGAUCCAGUCAUCUUUGGAUCCAACACAGUGAGGGCUGCAGUAGCAUCUAGGUCUUACCUUAAUUCCAAUAUGCUUCUGUUCAACCUUGUCAGACCUCGAGGGAGGAUUUAGGUAAAUCCUUAAGAAAUUGCUUCCCAGGGCUCCCCUGACUGCGUCUAGAUACCAAGUGAGGAGGGAGGUGUGAUUUGAUAAACCAUUUGAUCUAAAAAGUACAGCAUGGGAAUUGUUGAUGUCAAGUUUCUCCUGACUGAGAGAGACAAAAAGGGAAAGGAAACGAAGUAUCAAAGUGAAUUCUAAAAAUCCACCGGUGUUUUUGUUUGUUUGUUUGUUUGCGGUACGCCAGCCUCUCACUGUUGUGGCCUCUCCCGCUGCGGAGCGCAGGCUCCGGACGCUCAGGCUCAGCGGCCAUGGCUCACAGGCCUAGCUGCUCCGCGGCAUGUGGGAUCCUCCCGGACCGGGGCACGAACCCACGUCCCCUGCAUCGGCAGGUGGACUCUCAACCACUGCGCCACCAGGGAAGCCCCCCCACCGGUGUUUUUAAACUGUUUGUUUUCAUUCUUUUUUUGACAGAGGUGUGCUAUUUUUUUCACUGGGCAGUUUUGUAAUACAUUGAGACUCUCCAGGUGCAGGGAUGACUAAGGCAGUGUGAAUAGCUUCCCUGGACCACCUCGAUAUCCGCGAAAGGCCAUGCUGCUGCGUGGGUUACCUGGGAGAGAAAGCUUCUCUCACUGAGUUAUUUAUGUAUGUGAUGAGGCCCUUCUUCUCGCUACAUGCAUACUCAUGCAAAAACAGAGUUUUGUUCUGCUGUAAGAGCUUGCUGCCUGCUGGAACACGGUGUAUGUGUCAAGGGAGACCCCUGGCUGCUCUUUUUUCACCACCUUGAACAAUUUCCUAUUUGACGCUUUCUAAGUAGGCAGCAAAGCAAGGAAAAGGAUCACCACCUUCACAAAUGUCACCUCUCUCUAGGAGUCCAACACUUGCAGUGAUGAAAUCCAGGGUCUCCAGGCAGGGAGACACGAAGGCAGUGCCAAAUCAGGAGUCAGGAGGCAUAGACGAGCAGCGUGCGUGCUGGGCCUCGGCUUCUCCAUCUGGCUUCCCUGGUGGCUCAGUGGUUAAGAAUCCGCCUGCCAAUGCAGGGGACACGGGUUUGAGCCCUGGUCCAAGAAGAUCCCACGUGCCACAGAGCAGCUAAGCCCGUGCACCACAACUACUGAGCCUGUGCGCUAGAGCCUGUGAGCCACAACUACCGAAGCCCGUGUGCCACAACUACUGAAGCCUGUGCACCUAGAGCCCAUGCUCCGCAACAAAAGAAGCCACUGCAGUGAGAAGCCCGUGCACCACAACGAAGAGUAGCCCCUGCUCGCCGCAACUAGAGAAAAGCCCGCGCGCAGCAACGAUGACCCAACGCAGCCAAACAAAAUAAAAACAAAAACCACACUUAGUCACAGAGUUUGCAGUCUCUGGAUACUUUCAAAUCCUCGUUCUCAGUGUGGAAUUCUUCGUCUCCAGGUAUUUCUUUUUCCUGGUCAGUGGCCUGCACCGCCGACCUCUCCUUCAGUCAGCUUUGCCCAAAACAAAUUUUGGUAUUAAGUCAAGGGGAAUUAGAAGGACAAUUCAACAGCAAAGGAAAUAUAAAUUGUAUUCCAUGCCCAGAGAGAAGAUGCCUUUUGGAUUGAUGGGUGUUCUCUCUUCCUGCCAGCGACCAGGUAGAUCAGGAAUUGGGUGCUUAUGUGCGCUGCGGCCCAGCAGCCCCUAUAAGAUGCUGCAUAGGGGAUGAGGGGCCCAGCCGGCCAAUCUGAGGCCUGUGGACCUGACCCCAAGGAGGUUCUGCUGCAAACUCGCUGAGCCUAGAAGUUUCUCCUUUACUGAAGGUUUGUUUCUGAAGAAUUUUCUUAUGGCUUUGGUAGUUUUAAACAAACAACAAAAAAAAAGGUUAACUGGCGUGGGACGUGUUCAAAAAAAAAAAAAUGGAAACAAUCCUUCCUCCACAGCUUACUUCACCUCCUCCCCAACGAAGAAGAAACUCUGACCUGGGGCCCCAGUAGCUCAAAGAGUAUCAAAGGGUGUGGGAACCUUCUAGAGGUGUAUGAAGACUUGACAUGUAUUUUUCUUUAGUGUCUAGACCAGCACUGUUCAACAGAAAUAUAGUACAUGUCCCACAUGUAAUUUUCUACUGGCCACAUUUUUAAAAAGCAAAAGGAAACAGGUAAAAGUAAUUUUAAUAAUAUCCUUCUUUAAGCCAAUAUUAUUGUUUUGACACGUAAUUAGUGUAAAAAGUACUCACGAAAUACUUGACGUUCUUUUUCCGUACUAAAUCUUCUAAGGGCAGUGUAUGCUUUACACUCACACACCUCUCCGUUCGGACUGGCCAUUUCUCCAGCUGUCAGCCGCAUCACAUGGCUCGUGGCCACCUUGGACAGCGCAGGGCUAGAGCUUCUCCAACAUUCUCACAAGAUUCCCUGACCCUCACAGAGUAAAAAGGUUAAGACCUAAUUACCUCCAGAAAGAACUGGACUCCACCCAGGCCACCUACUGAGAGGCCCAGAGAUCCAUUUGUUUUCUAAUGAGUAAAUAUGCGGACCAUCCUUUUUGAAAUUUUUGCUGCAUCUUUCUAACCACACCACUGAUGUCCAUGACCGUUUUCUGUUGCUUCCUUGACCAGUUGUUUUCUAAAAAGUCACGCAAAGCAUGUUGAUUUGGUGCUGAGACAAAAUUUUAUCCUUCACUUCCGCCCUUGGACUGAUGUGUGGCAGUCAGGAUCCAAAGAGAAAUCCAGACUCUAGUCCUCCAACUUUACCUCAACCCCUGGUCCGCCUUCUUCCUGAUUGGCAGAAGGUCUUUUCCUGGUCCCAGAACCCCACAGUCCCACCACUAUAGCUAAAAUGCCUGGAUUUGGGAGGAAAAAAUGGGAAGGUACAUAUUGACUCCAAAUACAAGACUUUGUGUGUAGCCUUCUCAAUAGAGAAGAAGUCUUUGGGGCUCGUGACCGUCUGGUGCCAAGUUGGUGAAUUAUGACCACCUGCAACUCAGAAGGCAUAUCUCAACUUGGAAGUAAGCAUUCCCCUUAGACCCCAAGGCUGUGGGCAAGAAAAGGAGCAUCUCCAUUCCCUCAGAAUAACUGAGAGUCCCCCCUAGGAAUUGCUACGUCCUAUGUGGCCAGUCCCUUUGGGAAGAACUGAGCCCUGAUCACGAAUAGAGCAUAGGAAUAUUGAUUUCAUCUCUAGGGUUUGGUCACUCCUAAAAUGUCAACUCCAUCAUCUAGGCAGGGAGUGGUGGAGAGUUUGGAGAAGGUAGAAAGUUAGAAGUAGCAAAGGCACCUACCUUUUCUGACAUCACUUAGUAAUGAUCACGACCAUGGUGUCAAACCUUUGUCCAAAGAGGUUUUUGUUUGUUUUGUUUUGUUUCGAGCAUUUUCCUCAUUCCGAUGGAAACAUCCUGGAUGUUCCUGGGUCUGGAUUUGGUCAUAUCAAACCAUGGUACCCAGUGGCUAGUAGAGUUAGUGCGCUGACAUCCCUGAAGCUGCCAUCCUUUCAGAACCAAAAAUGAUGACAGAUAGCCUAUCUUGGGACUCUUUUAUUCGCAUCAUGUUCAUCACGUUUAGAUGAAAAUUCUUGCAGAGCAUAAAAAAUAAAUGGCAUUUAAUUGUCCACUGAAUGCAUCACCUUGACCAAAAACAAAGAAACCUCAUUAAAUCAAAACCCUUUCAGAAAACCUGAGAUAGAGUCACAGCCUCUGAGGGGGGGAGGACCCAGCCCCCACCCCGUGAUACUAGAUAGAGCCCCUGAGUCCACUUCUGGUUGCGUUUUUUUAAUAGACUCCCACUUAGAUUUCUUGCCCUUUUUUGUCUGGGUGUGUCUCUCUCUAUCUCUGGAUCUCUCUGACUGCCUGUCUCUUUCUUUGUACACACACCCACACACACAUCCUUUUCCCAUCUUUCAGGACAAAAAAAAAACACCUUAGCAGCUCUGGAUCUAUAGGGUUGUCACUAUUUUGAUUAUCAUUGUUCUUGUUGGCGAUUUUUAAUGUGUGGCAGUAUCUAUCUUUUCACUUCUGAUGAGGAAAACCAGUUGACUACAAAGGCAAAUUAACUUCCUCUGUAAUGGGGUUUGCCUCAUUUUCACUUCUCAUAUCACUAAUUUUAUCACAAAUCUAGCUAUUGCCUUUUUUUUUUUAAAGGGUUCCUUGCCAGAAAAGUCUCUGAGGUAAAUAAUGGCAAGGUAACAAUUCCAGAAUGCUGUCUAAUCUCUUAUCUUCCACCUCUAGCAUUUGUGACCUUCUGAGUUCACCACAGGCCCUCCCACCACAGGGUUAGGAUUUCUUGGAAAAACAUGUGGGCUGUACCGUAUCCGAUGUCCACUCCUGCUUCUUAGCAUCUUGGCACGAGAGUUUGCUCUUUGUAAGUGAUCUGAGAGGCCACUUCUUCCUUAAGACUGAAAAAGAAGCCAAAAAAAAAAAAAAAACCCAUUCCCCUGAAGUGACAGACACACAGAUUCUUGUGCAGUGAGUGCCCGCAGUCACAGAAGUCCCUCCUCUGUGCUAUUUGCAUGGCCGGGACUGAAAAGUACAAUUGAUGAUGGCAAUUAAAAGGUGGUGGGGAUACUUACCCGCAGGUAGUCAGAAAAGAGGAUGGAAGGGUAUGAACGUGGAUGCUCUUCCCGAAUCCACGAGCAUCCCCUAGCUUUAGAGAUGACCUGUUUGGGGGAAUGUGUACGUCUUAAGGAGUUUAAUGCUCUCCUGAUUGCAAAGAAGGUUGGGAUUACCUGAAAAAUAAAUUAAUUCUGAGAAGCAGGUGUGAGUUUCUCAUCACUUACCUCUUCCCUUUCCCUGAUCCCCUCCCCAUCUCACAACUCCAGGACCUUUGUAAUAGGAACGAUAAUUUAUAAAGACCCAUAGGUCAAUAGAUCAGUAGCCAGGCUCUCCCCUUUGAGCCUUUCGAUGGCACUAAAUUAACCAUCCCAAAACUCAAGCAGUAAUUCCAGAUCCUGGACGUAGACCCUUAAUUAUCAAGCCCUGUAAUUGCAAAACAUGCUCAUUCUACAGAGAAGCUGCUGAGGUCAUUUACAUCUCUCUUUACAUACUCUGAAUGUUGCCUGCCUUGCAUGCUUCAUGAUCAAGUGGCUUCUUCAGGAACCUCCAUGAUCAAAGACCUCCUCAUCCUUGUGCUCCUGUUAACAUUUGUACUUACUACCGAGCUAUUCUCUCUCUGGCCACCUGAUAAAUAUUUGUUAAGGAUAAUGAUAAGGCAAGAAUAUACAUCUCUUCAGAGGUUCUGCCGGUCUGAACAGAGUGAGGGAGAAAAAUCUGUGGAGAAGGUAGCUCAACCUGAGUUACCUAAAGUCAUUGCUUGACAGAAUGUCUGUGGUCUUGUCAUCCUUACUGAAGUGAAGGGCUUGGAGAAGCAGGAAAAACGUGGGGACCAUGUGUACUCUAUAAACCAAAGACCAAUCACCAUCCAAAUGGACACAUGUUUCUUCCAGUGACGAGUUUAAUUUUCUCACAAUGUGCUCAUAAAUAAAAGUGAAGGUGGUUUGCUUGGUCGCAUGAAACUGUGAGACGGGGUUUUCUCUUGCAGGCUUGUGAUUGACCUUACUAAAUCCAGAAAUAUAAAAAAAUGUAUCAUGGCCUUAGUACCGCACCAUCUUGAAAGUCUAGUGCUUAGUCCCCUUUUCCCUCAAAAGUUUCAGACAAGUCGAGCGCUUUAUUGAACUCAGAAUAUUGUUCUCUUUGAGAAUGUGAAGAUUUUAAAUAGCCAAAGAAUUUUCAUGUAUAAGAGCUCAUUAAUUACAGCAUAUCCUGCUCUUUUGAAGAAAAUACCAAACUGUUGCCUGUAGUAACAGAUAGUGGAGCAAUGGAAGAAGGACUUAACAAAAGGACUUUUCAGCCUGUGUUUGUGUUGGCGUCUAUGGUACUUAGUGUUAAGUGGGAUGUUAUUGCAAAGGGGCAGGGUGCCCUCUGCUGGAAUUCUCGCCAUUAUUCUUUCAGCCAGCUAAUUUGACUAGGGUCACCAUUUCCUCAACAACUAGUAGUGAUUUGCCUUUCAUCGUACAGUUUCCUCAGUAGUUGAGAAUUUGGUCCACAUUUGUCAAAAGAGGAAGGAAUGUCACAAACUCUGAAAAGUUGGAGGAGGAUCCCAUGGAAGAUCUGUCAGCAGCCCCUUCCUUCUGCAGAAUGUUGAAAGAGUAUUGUUUGCUCUGUUUGCAAAGAAGAUGCCUCUGGCUGGAAUGUUUGUGCAGAGUUAUAAGGCAAGGGCCUAACUGUUUUGUAACGUUAUCUCAACUUUUUUCUUGUCAGAUUGCAAAGGAAGAUCAAUAAACAGACUUCUUUCAUAUGAAUGUAAAUGGUGUGAAAUACUCACGUGUUUUGUACAUGUACAUAAUAAUAUAUUUACUUCCUGCUUUCACAUUAGUAAUCUGAAAUGGUUGUACCAUUUUAUAAUUAGAAAGAGAUGUAGGGUUGGGGGAGGGAAGGGAGGGUUGUUAUUUUUAUAGUGGGAUGUCCCUUAUAUUUAGAAAAUGAAGUAAUUUUGUACUUGUGAAAAGUUACAUUCCAUUCAUUUCCUGAAAAACUAAUGGGUGUUGUUCUUUCAAAUGUUCAUGAGCUGGGAGUAGGAUUAUUCUAGUUUCCAGGGGAGCUUCCCAAGCAGUAUAUAUGUGACACUGACUUUGUGGACUGCAGAUCAUGACCAGCAAUAGCCAGCUCACUAAUGUGAAAAAAAAAAAAAACAACUUAUUUAAACCUCUUUGUAUAGAGCAUAUUAUUAUUUCCACUGGGGGGAAAAAAAUGUCUCCUACAAAGAAUGAAUCUUCCAUUCAGAAAUAGUCCAGACAUGGCAUCAUCAAUCAAUCUCUAGUCCCUCCCUACUAGCAACAAAAAAAAAUCCAGUGGAUUUCUUUUUCCACUCCUGAACACAAAUUAUGUGCUUUCGUUGUAAAACGAAUGAUGUCACCGGUAGAAUUUUACUUAGCAUUCCCUCGAGGUCUUUCUGGCCAGUCUGCAACUCCCACACAUAAUGAUCCCUGACCCAUCCUCUCCAUAUUCAGAUGAGACUGAGCUUCCUUGAUUUUUUUGCCACAUGACUCAAAAUCACCGAAGUUAUUCCUCAUGGCAUUUGCAUGAGUAACUUUUUAUUUGGACUUUGGUUAGCUUUUAAUUGCUAAAAAAAUUUAGUAGUGAAUUAUGUAGCUGUUUUACCCAAACAUCAUCUUCUAUACAAAGUCACAGGCGUAUUUAAAUGAUUAGUUAAGGCAGUGUAGUUAUUAGUUUUUGUUUUGUUUUCUGUAUAAAUCUCUUUCUCUUUCCCUCUUCCCCACCUCAGGCACCUACCUUCCUCCUUCUAAAGCACUUUAUAUAUCUCUUGAAAUACACGGAAGUUUUAAAAAACUGUCUUUAAAGGAAUUUGUCUUCUAUUAGGAGACAUGACUUUCAUCUUGCUUUAUUGUAUUCUCUUUGUGCUUGGAAAGCAUAAGCUGUUUGUCUCAUGUGGGCUAGUGAUGAAAUAUUAAGGAUAAUAAUUGGAAACAUUCAAUCAUACAACAUGGCUAUUUUUGUUAUAUAGAAGACUAUCGUGUAAAUAAGUGCAAUCGUGUUCUUAUGUACUGGUUCAAAAAAAAAUACAACUAUGAAGAUUUGAAAAGGAUUGUGAAUUCCAGGAAAUUUCAUUGCAGAAUUUCGUUUGGUUUUGUUUUUUAAUAAAUUGGAACCAGA